rnacentral:rRNA from 1 species
UAUCUCUGUAGAGUCUGCAUAUCAAUAAGCGGAGGAAAAGAAACUAACUAGGAUUCCCUCAGUAACGGCGAGUGAAGCGGGAAGAGCUCAAAUUUGAAAUCUUCAAGGUUCUACCUUGACGAAUUGUAGUUUAAAGAAGUGUUUUCUGUUGGAGUUUUGGUAAAAGUUCUUUGGAAUAGGACAUCAUAGAGGGUGAGAAUCCCGUAUUUGACCGUUAUUUUCAGCUGUGUGAUACACUUUCAAAGAGUCGGAUUGUUUGGGAAUGCAGUCCAAAAUGGGUGGUAAAUUUCAUCUAAAGCUAAAUACUGGCGAGAGACCGAUAGCGAACAAGUACCGUGAGGGAAAGAUGAAAAGAACUUUGAAAAGAGAGUUAAACAGUACGUGAAAUUGUCAAAAGGGAAGCGUUUGACACCAGUGUUGUUUUCUCGAAAAUCAAUUAAAAAUGGCUGGGAUUUUGUGUUGUAUUGACUUUAUCAGCUUUCUGCACUUCUUUUCCUUGUCUCUUUUUAAUGCACUUUUCGUUUAACAAGUCAACAUCAAUUUCUUUUGUUGUAAAAGGGUCAUUGGAAGGUGGCUUUCUUUUCGGAGAAAGUGUUUAUAGCCUUUGACUUCUGCAAUCGGAGAGAUUGAGGUCUGCAGCGUAGAUCCUUCGGGGUUAGAUACAUUUGUGCUAAGUUAUAGCCUUUCAUAGACAACUUGUUGACUAUGAUCAGUCAUGUAGCUUACUCGCUUAUGCUAUUUUACCUACGCUUAGGAUGUUGAUCUCUCACAGUCGAGC